CUCUCUCUCUCUCUUUCUCUCUCUCUCCCCAUCUCUCUCUCUUUUACUCUCUCCUUUGCACACAUAGUAUUGUCAACAAAGCCAGAGAACAAGGGAGAGGGGUGAACGAGGGAAUAAAAGAGUGCAAAGUGGAGUAAUAAGUGUUUUUUUCCAUCUCAGAAGUACAUAUCUUUCACCACAUCCUAUGCUUUUCCAGUCUCUAAGGGAAGGCGAGAGGGGCGAGGGUCAAGGGUGAGGCGAGAAGCGAGAGAGGGCUGGAAGAGCUCGGGUUAAGGUGUUUGGCGUUCCUAUUUCUGGCGGAGGGGGAGAACGUAUCAUGUAUGAGAAGUUAACCAUAAUGAACCUGCAAAGCGGCUUGAACUGGACUGAGCCCAACAACUGGUACCAUGACCUGACCACAGUACAAACACAACACAGCACAGUGCCCGAGGGCUGUCUGUCGGACACAGAUGGAGGCCUGGGAGACGAAGGUGGUGGUGGAGGAGAUGGGGGAGGAAGAGGAGGAGUAGGAGGAGGGCCGGUGGAGAGGGAUGAGGGUGAGGAGUCACAGCUGAGGCUGCAGCUGAAGAGGAAGCUACAGAGGAACAGGACCAGCUUCACUCAAGAGCAGAUUGAGGCGCUGGAGAAAGACAGUGUCGUCCCAGUCUGCCAUCUCUUACUCUUGCAUGUUACCCCCGUCCCCUUCCACCCCGCAGACCUUUGACUCUUCAGCAUAUCCCUCCCAUAUUCCUCCACCGUCCUCUGCCAACUCAAACACUGGGCUAAUUUCUCCCAGGGUUUUGGUACCGGUGCAGCUUCCUGGGAACGAGCAGAGCAUGGGCCAGAACCUCGGUCAGUACUGGGCCAGACUACAGUGAGAGAGGGGGAACGAGAAUCGACUGAGGGGACCAUCAAAAAAACAAAGGCAUAUUAUGAGAACGAGAAGCAUAGAAGCUCAUUGAUAUGGCGUGGCUAGUUGUUCCCUAAGCAUCAGUGGUGAGAGGCUGCAUAUACUGUGAAGAUUCCUUUUUUGACUCGAUUAUCAUAAAACAAUCACCUUUUACAAACAUGUUUAACCUCUACGGGAUCGGUGUCCCGUAUACGGGACGGUUGAGCUAACGGGCUCAAAUUUGAUAUGCAU